rnacentral:rRNA from 1 species
UACGGAGGGGGCUAGCGUUGUUCGGAAUUACUGGGCGUAAAGCGCACGUAGGCGGCUUUGCAAGUUAGAGGUGAAAGCCCGGGGCUCAACUCCGGAAUUGCCUUUAAGACUGCAUCGCUAGAAUUGUGGAGAGGUGAGUGGAAUUCCGAGUGUAGAGGUGAAAUUCGUAGAUAUUCGGAAGAACACCAGUGGCGAAGGCGACUUACUGGACACAUAUUGACGCUGAGGUGCGAAAGCGUGGGGAGCAAACAGG